GCCCAAUGAUGAGACCAAGGCGAAUAUGAGCUGACUGAACAACAGCUGGCUUCUUCUUGCCUCAACUGGCAGGUAAUCUUGGCAGUGUAAGGGAGUUUUCUUACUCUGCUGUAAGGGUCUGCCUACAGUAACUAGUCUGCACCAUUAUUUCUCCUCUUGAGGUCACAUAGGAGUAAUCAUGGGUAUGCAACCUACAGUGUGUCUGUGCUUCGAGGCCUGAAGUUCACCCAACUGUGUUCACUGUUCAGCCAGCUAUGAGUUGCUUCUUUGGUAAUCUGAGGACA